rnacentral:rRNA from 1 species
AUUGAACGCUGGCGGCGUGCUUAACACAUGCAAGUCGAGCGAGAAACCUUCGGGUUUCUAGCGGCGGACGGGUGAGUAACACGUGGGCAACCUGCCUAUCAGACUGGGAUAACUCCGGGAAACCGGGGCUAAUACUGGAUAACAUUUUGCACCGCAUGGUUCGAAAUUGAAAGGCCGCUUCGGCUGUCACUUAUAGUUGGACCUCGGGCGCAUUAGCUAGUUGGUGAGGUAACGGCUCACCAAGGCGACGAUGCGUAGCCGCCCUGAGAGGGUGAUCGGCCACACUGGGACUGAGACACGGCCCAGACUCCUACGGGAGGCAGCAGUAGGGAAUCUUCCGCAAUAGACGAAUGUCUGACGGAGCAACGCCGCGUGAGCGAUGAAGGCCUUCUGGUCGUAAAGCUCUGUUGUUAGGGAAGAACAAGCGCUAGUUGAAUAAGCUGGCACCUUGACGGUACCUAACCAGAAAGCCACGGCUAACUACGUGCCAGCCGCCGCGGUAA